rnacentral:rRNA from 1 species
UUGGAGGGCAAGUCUGGUGCCAGCAGCCGCGGUAAUUCCAGCUCCAAUAGCGUAUAUUAAAGUUGUUGCAGUUAAAAAGUUCGUAGUUGAACUUCGGGGUUUACCCAUUGGUCAGGCUUAAUUGUCUGUACUGGUGAGAUGAAUCUCUACCUUCUGAGGAACUUUCAUGCCAUUUAUUUGGUGUGAUGGGAAAUCAGGACUGUUACUUUGAAAAAAUUAGAGUGUUUAAAGCAGGCUAACGUCUGAAUACAUUAGCAUGGAAUAAUGAAAUAGGACGUUUGAUCCUAUUUUGUUGGUUUCUAGGAUUGACGUAAUGAUUAAUAGGGAUAGUUGGGGGCAUUAGUAUUCAAUUGUCAGAGGUGAAAUUCUUGGAUUUAUUGAAGACUAACUACCGCGAAAGCAUUUGCCAAGGAUGUUUUCAUUAAUCAAGGACGAAAGUUAGGGGAUCGAAGACGAUCAGAUACCGUCGUAGUCUUAACCAUAAACUAUGCCGACUAGGGAUCGGACGAUGUUAAAUUUUAUUGACUCGUUCGGCGCCUUACGGGAAAC